UACGUAGGGUGCGAGCGUUAAUCGGAAUUACUGGGCGUAAAGCGUGCGCAGGCGGCUUUGCAAGACAGAUGUGAAAUCCCCGGGCUCAACCUGGGAACUGCAUUUGUGACUGCAAAGCUGGAGUGCGGCAGAGGGGGAUGGAAUUCCGCGUGUAGCAGUGAAAUGCGUAGAUAUGCGGAGGAACACCGAUGGCGAAGGCAAUCCCCUGGGCCUGUACUGACGCUCAUGCACGAAAGCGUGGGGAGCAAACAGG
rnacentral:rRNA from 1 species